rnacentral:piRNA from 1 species
UGAUGGGUGACUUAAGCGUUACACUCUGGAUU